UACGUAGGUGGCGAGCGUUGUCCGGAUUUACUGGGCGUAAAGGGAGCGUAGGCGGACUUUUAAGUGAGAUGUGAAAUACUCGGGCUCAACUUGAGUGCUGCAUUUCAAACUGGAAGUCUAGAGUGCAGGAGAGGAGAAUGGAAUUCCUAGUGUAGCGGUGAAAUGCGUAGAGAUUAGGAAGAACACCAGUGGCGAAGGCGAUUCUCUGGACUGUGACUGACGCUGAGGAGCGAAAGCGUGGGGAGCGAACAGG
rnacentral:rRNA from 1 species